rnacentral:rRNA from 1 species
AGUGAACGCUGGCGGUAGGCCUAACACAUGCAAGUCGAACGGCAGCACAGUAAGAGCUUGCCCUUACGGGUGGCGAGUGGCGGGCGGGUGAGGCAUACAUCAGAAUCUACUUUUUCGGGGGGGAUAACGUAGGGAAACUUACGCUAAUGCCGCAUACGACCUACGGGUGAAAGCAGGGGAUCUUCGGACCUUGCGCGAUUGAAUGAGCCGAUGUCGGAUUAGCUAGUUGGCGAGGUAAAGGCCCACCAAGGCAACGAUGCGUAGCUGGUCUGAGAGGAUGAUCGGCCACACUGGAACUGAGACACGGUCCAGACUCCUACGGGAGGCAGCAGUGGGGAAUAUUGCACAAUGGGCGAAAGCCUGACGCAGCCAUACCGCGUGAGUGAAGAAGGUCUUCGGGUCGUAAAGCUCUGUUAUUGGGGAAGAACAGCAGCGGGUUAAUACCCCGCUGUUUUGACGGUACCCAAAGAAUAAGCACCGGCUAACUUCGUG